AUGAACGCUGGCGGCGUGCCUAAUACCUGCAAGUCGCGCGAACAGACGAGGAGCUUGCUCCUCUGACGUUAGCGGCGGACGGGUGAGUAACACGUGGAUAACCUACCUAUAAGACUGGGAUAACUUCGGGAAACCGGAGCUAAUACCGGAUAAUAUAUUGAACCGCAUGGUUCAAUAGUGAAAGACGGUUUUGCUGUCACUUAUAGAUGGAUCCGCGCCGCAUUAGCUAGUUGGUAAGGUAACGGCUUACCAAGGCAACGAUGCGUAGCCGACCUGAGAGGGUGAUCGGCCACACUGGAACUGAGACACGGUCCAGACUCCUACGGGAGGCAGCAGUAGGGAAUCUUCCGCAAUGGGCGAAAGCCUGACGGAGCAACGCCGCGUGAGUGAUGAAGGUCUUCGGAUCGUAAAACUGUGUUAUUAGGGAAGAACAAAUGUGUAAGUAACUAUGCACGUCUUGACGGUACCUAAUCAGAAAGCCACGGCUAACUACGUG
rnacentral:rRNA from 1 species